AUUCCUUUGUCUUGUGUUUCUCCCGCCAUCCCAGCGAGGCUGCCCCUGCUAGGGUCUCAGAAAUACCUGACCACGCAGUUUCAGUUUAUACCAUCCCCUUAGGAAAUGCCUUCUCUUCCUUUCCUGAAUCUCUUCAGGCCCCAUCGCUUCCGUGUUAUUAAUCUUUACAGUGGCAUCAGGAAUGGAUGGGUUGUCUAGGUUUUGUGGGAGUAGCUCUGUGUCUGUCAGCUUCCAAAGGUGUAGUCAAGCUGGAUCUGAAGGGUUAGGAGCAGAGGGCAAGCUAGAGGGAGCAGGUAGGUCCAGGAGGCAACAUGUGCCACUCACCGAAUGCUUUCUGGCCAAGGCCAGGACUAGGAAACAGGAAGGUCCUCCCCGUGUCAUGCCAGCAUCUUUCGUGAGGAUUUCCAGAGAAGAGGGUAAAAGAAUCCAAACCACCAAGUUGAGUAUGAGAGGAGACAUAACUUUUGUGGUAGUACCAUGAAAACCAUUUCACAGUGUUCCUAGGUGCCAUUUCCCCACCCUCCGCUCUCUUUCUUCCCUGUCUCUCCCUGCUUUCCCUUCUUGCUUUCUCUCCCGUAUCUUUGAGCUACUUGGUGGCCAGCCUGAAAUGAUUAUGCUCCUGCAGAGCCUCCCCUUUGUCACUCACUGUAGGAAACUGGGUCCCACUGAUUCUGAUACCUGAGGAGUUGGCCUAGAAAUCAGAGCUGUUUCUUCCCCUGGAGUCCUCAACUUCCCAAUCAUGUCAUGGACCUUUCAGGCAUUAUUUACUGCCUUGGAACUGAGCUAGCAGUUUGGGCUACUAGACCUUUAAAACAGUGCGAGGGAGAAGAGGUCCACUGACAGACAGCCCAGGUUGCGUCUGUGCAAGUUCACUGGUGCUCAUAGCCUGGGCACAUGCCCCCACACGGUCUGAUGCCCCAUCUUUCCACAGCGUCUUUCCCUAGGGCUCCACAUAGCUUGCAGCCUGCAGGAGAGAGAGACAUUAAAAGGUACCAUCUCAGGGAAAAAAGAUGUUUUCAGCCAAGGUUGGAAAUGAGUUGGAGGGUUGAUGAGGUGGAGAGCUGUGGGGGAAGGCUCUUUCUGAGGGCAGGAUUCUCAGAGGAGGUGGCAGCCACAUGUCUUAUAUAUGCAUUAGUUGGGCUGUGUCAGGGGACUGAGAGGAAGCCAGGCUUUGGAAGGAAGGAGGAGAUGGAGUUGGGAGCAGAAGAGAAUUGAAGGCAUAGGCUGAAGAUCAUUUCUGGUCCGAGUUAUGAUUUUAGGAAAGGGGAAACGAAAGGUCUUUAUGGUAAUUCAGAGAUGACAGUAGCCUGUCCUGUCUUCCUCUCUCUAUAGUCUCAAGGUGCUGCAAUGGGAUUCGUAAGCCCUUGUUUUCCUCUACUGUUCUAAUCCGAUCCUGCCCGCUGCUUUCCAUCUGCAGUGGGACUCGAGCUGGAGGGAGAAGGGAUUCUGAGUCCACAGCAGGGAGGACCAGCUCCCCUGUUUGACUCUUGCCCAGCCCUCUUUGUUUUGGGUCAUGCCCACACUUUCCGCUUAGGUUGACUGAGCCACCGUGCCAGGCCUGCAACAGCCUGAGUGCUGUGCGAGGAGGGUGUGUGGUGAGGCUACUUUCCACCGUAAGAUUGAGGGACCUGGACGUGGAGACACAUUCUGGCCUUUAGGAAAGUCACUCUGGGAGACAAAAUGCUUUAUCCUGCUCAUGGUUUCCUCAUGCUUUAUCCUGCUCAUGCUUUAUCCUGCUCAGAAUGUUCUCAGGAUUCCUCUUUGGGCAUUUCCUUGAAGAACCAGAAAACAAGCAAAAUAACAGUCCUUAUUACUUUAUACACAUCUUUUUAAUGGAUACCAUUAUUCCUGAUCUCACCACCCUCCUAUGUAUCCAGGUCAGCUCUGAAUUCCUUUUAUUCAUUUCUAAACAUUUAAUUAACUCUAAGCAGACGAAAACGUGCCCCCAUGGGUAGACGGGGAACAUGGCACUCGUGCAUGCUUGCUACAUUUUUUGGCUUAGGGGAGCAUCUCCUCCUGGCCCCCUUCGUGGUGUGAUAGGGGAGCUUCCUAUUCCUGGGCCUUCCUGGACUGUUGUAGUUCUCAGAGCUGGGAUACCUGCUGCUGCUUCUUUCAUGGGCCCAUAUACAUUGGCCACUACUCAGUUUGGGAGGCAGAAAGCAGUCUCUGGGGACUGUUCACAAAUUGCUGGCAUGAGCCUCAAGUAGCAGGCAGAGCUCUAGUGGGGAGGUGGUAACGGGGCUGUGAGCCAUUCUAGGAAGGAAUCCAUUAGGGACAGAGCUUCACUCUCUCCCUGCUGCUGCCAGCUCUUGAGCUGGAGCUUCAGAUUUUGAUCUUGGGCCAUAACCUCGUAAGUCUGCUGAGAGCCUGCUAUGGGCUACCCUUCUCCCUACGCUCUUGGGGCCUUAAACAGCCACAGUGGGGCUUGUCCUAUGGAACAAGCAUUGACUGUAUCUCUUGCCUGCCCUUGGGUGACCUGUUUGACUCUUGAUUGUGGGCCCUCCAUUAGGAUUCCAUCUGUGAUGUUCCAUAUCCAUUCUAACCUGGAUGCAGAGGUGGGUGGACAUUAACCCUGUGAUGAUAUGCCAUUCCCCACCCAUGGUAGGCGAUCCACAGAGCCUGUGGCUCCCCCAGAGCAGCUCUCAGAGGCUGCACUAAAGGCCAUGGAAGAGGCAGUGGCCCAAGUACUCGAGCAAGACCAGAGGCACCUGCUGGAAUCAAAGCAAGAGAAGAUGCAGCAACUGCGGGAGAAGCUGUGCCAAGAGGAGGAAGAGGAGAUCCUCCGGCUUCACCAGCAGAAAGAGCAAUCUCUCAGUUCCUUGAGGGAGCGGCUGCAGAAAGCCAUUGAGGAGGAGGAGGCCCGGAUGAGAGAGGAGGAAAGCCAGAGGCUAUCCUGGCUCCGAGCUCAGGUCCAGUCCAGCACACAAGCAGAUGAGGACCAAAUCAGGGCUGAGCAAGAGGCUUCCCUGCAGAAACUGAGAGAAGAGUUGGAGUCUCAACAGAAGGCUGAGAGGGCCAGCUUGGAACAGAAAAAUAGGCAAAUGCUGGAGCAGCUCAAGGAAGAGAUAGAGGCUUCGGAGAAGAGCGAGCAGGCUGCCCUGAAUGCUGCAAAGGAGAAGGCUCUGCAGCAGCUGAGGGAGCAGCUGGAAGGGGAGAGGAAAGAAGCUGUGGCAACGCUGGAGAAGGAGCACAGUGCUGAGCUGGAGCGGCUCUGCUCCUCAUUGGAGGCCAAGCACCGGGAGGUGGUCUCCAGCCUCCAGAAGAAGAUAGAGGAAGCUCAACAGAAAGAGGAAGCCCAGCUGCAGAAGUGCCUUGGGCAAGUGGAGCACAGAGUUCACCAGAAGGCUUAUCACGUGGCUGGGUAUGAGCACGAGCUCAGCAGUCUCCUGCGAGAGAAGCGCCAGGAAGUGGAAGGGGAGCAUGAGAGGAGGUUGGACAAGAUGAAGGAGGAGCACCAGCAAGUGAUGGCUAAGGCCAGAGAGCAGUAUGAAGCUGAGGAGAGGAAGCAGCGGGCUGAGCUUCUGGGGCACCUGACCGGAGAGCUGGAGCGCCUGCAGAGGGCCCAUGAACGAGAACUGGAGACUGUGAGGCAGGAGCAACACAAGCGUCUUGAGGACUUGCGGCGCCGGCACAGGGAGCAGGAAAGGAAGCUCCAGGAUUUAGAGUUGGACCUUGAAACCAGAGCUAAAGAUGUCAAGGCCAGAUUGGCUCUGCUGGAGGUCCAGGAGGAGACCGCCCGGAGGGAGAAGCAGCAGCUGCUUGAUGUGCAGAGGCAGGUUGCUCUGAAGAGUGAGGAAGCCACAGCCACCCAUCAGCAGCUGGAGGAGGCACAGAAGGAGCACACCCACCUGUUGCAGUCAAACCAGCAGCUCCGAGAAAUUCUUGAUGAGCUGCAGGCCCGCAAGCUGAAGCUGGAGUCCCAAGUGGAUCUGCUGCAGGCUCAGAGCCAGCAACUGCAGAAACACAUCAGCAGCCUGGAGGCUGAAGCUCAAAAGAAGCAGCACCUGUUGAGAGAAGUGACAGUUGAGGAAAAUAAUGCUUCCCCACAUUUUGAGCCAGAUCUCCACAUUGAGGACCUGAGGAAAUCCCUUGGAACAAACCAGACCAAAGAGGUGUCUUCUUCUCUCUCCCAGAGCAAGGAGGACUUAUACUUGGACAGCCUGUCCUCCCACAAUGUCUGGCACCUCCUCUCUGCUGAGGGGGUAGCCCUCCGUAGUGCCAAGGAGUUCCUUGUGCGGCAGACACGCUCCAUGCGGAGGCGGCAGACAGCUCUGAAAGCUGCCCAGCAGCAUUGGCGCCAUGAGCUGGCCAGUGCGCAGGAGGUGGCCAAAGACCCACCAGGCAUCAAGGCCCUGGAAGAUAUGCGCAAGAACCUGGAGAAGGAGACCAGGCACCUGGAUGAGAUGAAGUCGGCCAUGCGGAAAGGCCACAACCUGCUGAAGAAGAAAGAGGAGAAGCUGAAUCAGCUGGAGUCCUCUCUUUGGGAAGAGGCCUCAGAUGAGGGCACUCUGGGAGGAUCCCCCACCAAGAAGGCAGUAACCUUCGACCUCAGUGACAUGGACAGCCUGAGCAGUGAAAGUUCUGAAUCUUUUUCCCCGCCUCACCUCGACUCAACCCCGAGUCUCACCUCCCACAAGAUCCACGGGCUUAGCCACUCCCUCCGGCAGAUCAGCAGUCAGCUGAGCAGUGUCCUCAGCAUCCUGGACAGCCUCAACCCUCAGUCGCCGCCGCCGCUUCUCGCCUCCAUGCCAGCCCAGCUCCCUCCCCGGGACCCUAAGAGCACCCCCACCCCCACCUACUAUGGCUCCCUGGCCAGGUUCUCAGCCUUAUCAUCUGCUACACCCACGUCCACCCAAUGGGCCUGGGAUUCAGGGCAGGGGCCCAGGCUCCCCUCUUCUGUGGCUCAAACGGUGGACGACUUCCUGUUGGAGAAGUGGCGCAAGUAUUUUCCAUGUAAGCCCCACUCUGGGUGGAGCCUUCCCACCUGCCUCCUCCUCCUCCUCUUCCUUCCUUUUCUUCUGCCCUCUUUCUCCUGCUCCUUUUUUCCUCUUCCUCUUUUGCAUUCCUUUGCCACACCUCUCCUCCCCCAACGUUGCCAUAGUCCAUUGGUCCAUUGACUCUACCUGUGGGUCCCUGGGGAAGGAGACAUUGCAGGUGGCCCUGCAGCCAGGAGUUCUAUGGGUUGGGACGGUUUAGAUGGAGCCUGGCUGACUGGGGCCUUUAUUAUGGAUUCUGGAGCUCAGCAGAACCUAAAAGGUCAUUGUUGUCAUUAUCUUAAUAGCUACCAUCUUGUGCAAUACAUGAUGAGCCAAGCACUUUAUAUAUAUUUUUUCAUUUAGUUCUUAAUUCUCUGAGGUAGUAAUUAUUUAUCCCCAUUUUACAGAUGAGGAAACUGAGUUUCAGAGAGUUUAAGUAGUAUGCUCCAGGGUACCCAGUGAGUGAGUAACAAACUCAGUUGUGACCCCAUGUCUCUGUGACUCCAGGAUUCUGCUUGGAACCUCUUGGCUGUGUGGCUAAUUCUUGCUUCUGAGCCAGGUGGCCUCCCCGGGUCUCAGCCCUGCUGAGGAUUAUGAAAAGCCAUAAAACACAAGGCAUUUGAGGGAAAACAAAAUAUCUUCUUUCUGCCCUAACCCAAAUUGAAAAGUAGAUUAAGUUUUAAAAAUAAAAGAAAUAGGACCAUUCCUAUCUCUC
rnacentral:sRNA from 1 species